rnacentral:rRNA from 1 species
AGCGAACGCUGGCGGCGUGCCUAACACAUGCAAGUCGAACGAGAAAGCGAGCAAUCCCAAGUAAUGUGGUGUACGGGUGAGUAAUACGUAGGUAAUCUACCCCAGAACCUGGAGUAACCGGCCGAAAGGCUGGCUAAUACUGGAUAGAGCGACGGAUUUUGUAAUUGGUUUUUUCGUGGAAGGAAGCCUGUAUAAAGGCCUUCGUUCUGGGAUGCGCCUGCGUCCCAUCAGUUAGUUGGUGAGGGGAAAGCUUACCCAGGCAAUGAAGGGUGGCCGGACGGGGAGGACGGACCGCCCACCUGGGAACGGAACACGGUCCAGACUCCUACCGGAGGCAGCAGGUGGGGAACUUGCGCAAUGGGGGGAAGUCUGGCGCAAGAACCCCGCGGUGGUGGAGGAGGCCCUCGGGUUGGAAAGACCGGUCUAGUGGGACGAAACUGCUUGGAGUGCACAGAUGCAGGUACUGACGGUACCUAUAAAGGAAGCACCGGCUAACUACGUG